rnacentral:tRNA from 1 species
AGCCCCGAGGUGAUUUUCAUGUUGAAUUGCAAGUUCAAA